rnacentral:rRNA from 1 species
CAGCCGCCGCGGGAACACAGAGGGUGCAAGCGUUAAUCGGAAUUACUGGGCGUAAAGCGCGCGUAGGUGGUUUGUUAAGUUGGAUGUGAAAGCCCCGGGCUCAACCUGGGAACUGCAUCCAAAACUGGCAAGCUAGAGUACGGUAGAGGGUGGUGGAAUUUCCUGUGUAGCGGUGAAAUGCGUAGAUAUAGGAAGGAACACCAGUGGCGAAGGCGACCACCUGGACUGAUACUGACACUGAGGUGCGAAAGCGUGGGGAGCAAACAGGAUUAGAUACCCCUGUAGUCCCUGUCUCUUAUAC